rnacentral:rRNA from 1 species
AUUGAACGCUGGCGGCAGGCUUAACACAUGCAAGUCGAGCGGAGAUGAGGUGCUUGCACCUUAUCUUAGCGGCGGACGGGUGAGUAAUGCUUAGGAAUCUGCCUAUUAGUGGGGGACAACAUUCCGAAAGGAAUGCUAAUACCGCAUACGCCCUACGGGGGAAAGCAGGGGAUCUUCGGACCUUGCGCUAAUAGAUGAGCCUAGGUCGGAUUAGCUAGUUGGUGGGGUAAAGGCCUACCAAGGCGACGAUCUGUAGCGGGUCUGAGAGGAUGAUCCGCCACACUGGGACUGAGACACGGCCCAGACUCCUACGGGAGGCAGCAGUGGGGAAUAUUGGACAAUGGGCGGAGGCCUGAUCCAGCCAUGCCGCGUGUGUGAAGAAGGCCUUUUGGUUGUAAAGCACUUUAAGCGAGGAGGAGGCUACCUGGAUUAAUACUCUAGGAUAGUGGACGUUACUCGCAGAAUAAGCACCGGCUAACUCUGUGCCAGCCGCCGCGGUAAUAC